GAUGAUGAUCCCAAGCCUUCUGGCGAUCUAGACAAAACAAGUCCACCGUGGGCUUUGAAAAACGCUUUCCUUGAUAAAAUUUAAGCGUUUUAUAAGAGGAUGCCGGGGAAGGUUUUCCGGUUUAUCCCGGAGGGCUUGUAGCUCAGUUGGUUAGAGCGCGCGCUUGAUAAGCGUGAGGUCGGAGGUUCAAGUCCUCCCAGGCCCACCAGUUUAUCCAUUACUUUCAUAAGUGCUUUUAAAAAAUAAGUACUUCUAAAAAGAUUGCUUCUAAAAAGCUUAUCAAAAUUGGCAGGCUUAUUGCUUUUGUGUGAGUAAUCCAAAGUUAAAGCAAAUUAAUGGCAAAAAAACAGUUCAAAUGCUAAAUACUAAGGAGUCAAAAUUCCUUGCAAAGUGAUUUUUACAGCGUCCAUUUGGUUGAUAUAAAUUCCAAAUGCUCAUAGACGUCAAUGCCUAUAUGAAACUAUCGGUUCAAUCAUAUCGCUUUGAGUUAUAUAGAUUUUGUAAUCCCUCUUUUGAUCGUUUUAAACGCUUUAUCCUGAUUUAGGGGCCGUAGCUCAGCUGGGAGAGCACCUGCUUUGCAAGCAGGGGGUCGUCGGUUCGAUCCCGUCCGGCUCCACCAUAAGGUCAUCAUCAUUGUUGUAAGAACAGUUUUGUAAAAGGUUUGCGAACCUUUUGCUUGUUCU
rnacentral:tRNA from 1 species